CCUGAAAGAACAUGGAUGGAGGACACAAUAGAGUAUUGGCCCGUGGUGGAUGUGCCCACGUAUGCAUUAUGACAUCAUGGUGACCCAAUCUAAGGCUGGUCACAAUUUAUUCCAAGGCCCUGGGUGCUGUUUCACAAUGAAUCUUUUGGCCUGGUUUUGUCUUUUUUUUUUUUUUUUUAAGUUUUUAUUUUAAUUCCACUUAGUUAACAUACAGUGCUGUGUUAGUUUCAGGUGGCCUGGUUUCAUCUUAAUUCUAUAACCGUUAAAGCUAUGUGAUUAACGCAUGAGGACACACACACACACACACACACACACACAAGCCAUGCCAGGUCAUGAUUAUCCCCGCUGGGUUGGGAUCAAGAGAACCCAAACUUCAUAUUUUGCCAAAAGCUUUUACCUCUUCUCAGCCAGUUCUUUUCCACAGCAGAAGCCAAAGAGCCAAAUGGCACAGUCUGAGUUUGCCAGCCACUGGCCAAGGCUCUGGCUGCUGGCACCUUGCUCUGCGGCCCAUUGUGAGAUCGCAUCGGCUCCGCCUGGCAUGGAAAAGGGGAGCUGGCGCUGCCCGGCCUGUAGGUGGGAGAGGAAGCAGGGGACGCUGGUUCUUGGCAGGCAAACCUGUUGCCGCUAAAACUUGGCACGUCUGGGUGGCUUUAGCAGUCCAGACAGAGAAUUAGCACACAGCAACGCCAGUCUGGCUCCUUGGUACUGCCCAUGGAAAGAGAUUUCUUCCUUGGCAGGGAGCUUGGUCCAUCGCAGAGAUGGUGCUGGGAGACCAGCAUUCCAGGAUCAGCACCGCCUUUCACCAGCCACGGGAUGUGGACAAGGCGUUCAGCUUCCUCGGGCCUCAGUUGCCAUCGGCCCCAUCUAUCGAUGUGAAGACUGAGGCAGUGAUACGGGUGAAAGCAAACUGUACACAGAUACACCUCGAACACACGCAAGACAUCGGAUCGUGCUCUCCACAAACAGCCCUUUCACCAGACUGGCCUCCUGUGAUGUUUUCUCAUUCCGCCUCAUUAAAAAGCUGCUUACUCGGGUAAAACCCUCAAGAGAAGCAAGAUACCCACCCCGAGAGAUCCCCACACCCCCCUCCCCGCCGGGCCCGUCUGUCUUGAUCCAUAGAUUUCUCUGCACACGGAUGCUCUCAGCCUCCUCCAAAGCCUGUCCCUGGGCAGGCACAGACUUGAGCAGGGGAAGGGAGAGCCAGAACGACUACAGAAACCAAAGAUUAGGGAUUCUGUUUCUAUUCCUUUCUGGGUUUCCUGUUCUGAGAUGGGCGAAGCAACGUGAUUUAUUUUUGACAAACGUAUCUGCAUUAUGAAUUAUAUUGGGGAUGGAAUUGUUACAUUAAAUCAAAGUUAAUUUUC